AGGUUCCUUCCUGUUUGUUUCUGGAGCGAACAUGCUGCACCAGGCUGCCAACAGAGCCGGAGAGCGUAAUAGCAUGAGUUUUCCUCAAAUAGUUUUAGUUGUACUUAUCAGAAAGGCAGUUUUCGGUGUAAAUUUGACAUUUUGUACAUGAAACAUAUGCUUGGUAGAUCAAGGUAACACCAAAAUGUGAAAUCGUCAUGGACUAAUAUAUAUACACAAAUUGAGAGGUAACU
rnacentral:misc_RNA from 1 species